ACCUACGGGGGGCAGCAGUGGGGGAUAUUGCACAAUGGGGGAAACCCUGAUGCAGCGACGCCGCGUGUGGGAAGACGGUCCUCUGGAUUGUAAACCACUGUCCCCAGGGACGAAAAUGACGGUACCUGGGGAGGAAGCUCCGGCUAACUACGUGCCAGCAGCCGCGGUAAUACGUAGGGAGCGAGCGUUGUCCGGAAUUACCGGGUGUAAAGGGAGCGUAGGCGGGAUGCAAGUUGGGUGUCAAAACUACCGGCUCAACUGGUAGUCGCACUCAAAACUGCAGCUCUUGAGUGAAGUAGAGGCAG
rnacentral:rRNA from 1 species